AAUCUUGCGCAAUGGGCGAAAGCCUGACGCAGCCAUGCCGCGUGAAUGUUGAAGGUCUUAGGAUUGUAACAUUCUUUCACCGCGGACGAUAAUGACGGUACCCGGAGAAGAAGCUCCGGCUAACUUCGUGCCAGCAGCCGCGGUAAUACGAAGGGGGCUAGCGUUGCUCGGAAUUACUGGGCGUAAAGGGCGCGUAGGCGGAUCUUUAAGUCAGGGGUGAAAUCCCGGGGCUCAACCUCGGAAUUGCCCUUGAUACUGGCGAUCUUGAGUAUGAGAGAGGUAUGUGGAACUCCGAGUGUAGAGGUGAAAUUCGUAGAUAUUCGGAAGAACACCAGUGGCGAAGGCGACAUACUAGUUCAUUACUGACGCUGAGGCGCGAAAGCGUGGGGAGCAAACA
rnacentral:rRNA from 1 species